UCCCGACGCUCCGAGUCGCAGCCACAAUUAUUGGGUCUAAAACAUUCGUAGCUUGUUUUGUAAGUUCUUUGUGAAAUCUUAACUCUUAAAGUUAAGGCGUGCAAAGAAUACUGUAAAACUUGGGACUGGAAGAAGCAAGAAGUACGACAGAGGUAGUGGUAAAAUAUGUUAAUCUCUGUCGGACUAACAACAGCGAAGGCAUCUUGCUAGUACAGAUCUGACAGUGAGGAAUGAAGGCUAGGGCCGCGAAGCG
rnacentral:rRNA from 1 species